rnacentral:rRNA from 1 species
UACGUAGGUCCCAAGCGUUGUCCGGAUUUAUUGGGCGUAAAGCGAGCGCAGGCGGUUUGAUAAGUCAGAAGUAAAAGGCUGUGGCUCAACCAUAGUAUGCUUUGGAAACUGUUUAACUUGAGUGCAGAAGGGGAGAGUGGAAUUCCAUGUGUAGCGGUGAAAUGCGUAGAUAUAUGGAGGAACACCGGUGGCGAAAGCGGCUCUCUGGCUUGUAACUGACGCUGAGGCUCGAAAGCGUGGGGAGCAAACAGG